rnacentral:rRNA from 1 species
GUAGGGAGCAAACGUUGUCCGGAUUUAUUGGGCGUAAAGGGCUCGUAGGCGGUUCAACAAGUCGGUCGUGAAAACCCGGGGCUCAACCCCGGGACGCCGGUCGAAACUGUUGUGACUAGAGUUCGGUAGAGGUGAGUGGAAUUCUCGGUGUAGCGGUGGAAUGCGCAGAUAUCGAGAGGAACACCAUUAGCGAAGGCGGCUCACUGGGCCGAUACUGACGCUGAGGAGCGAAAGCGUGGGGAGCAAACAGGAUUAGAUACCCUGGUAGUCCACGCCGUAAACGAUGAACACUAGGUGUGGCGGACUGAUUCAUGUCGGCUGCGCCGUAGCUAACGCAUUAAGUGUUCCGCCUGGGGAGUACGCCGCAAGGCUA